rnacentral:rRNA from 1 species
CGACGGCCUUCGGGUUGUAAACCGCUUUCAGCAGGGAAGAACCUCUGACGGUACCUGCAGAAGAAGCCCCGGCUAACUACGUGCCAGCAGCCGCGGUAAUACGUAGGGGGCGAGCGUUAUCCGGAAUGAUUGGGCGUAAAGCGCGCGCAGGCGGCCGCUCAAGCGGGACCUCUAACCCCGGGGCUCAACCCCGGGCCGGGUCCCGAACUGGGCGGCUCGAGUGCGGUAGGGGAGAGCGGAAUUCCAAGUGUAGCGGUGAAAUGCGCAGAUAUUUGGAAGAACACCGAUGGCGAAGGCAGCUCUCUGGGCCGUCACUGACGCUGAGGCGCGAAAGCCGGGGGAGCGAACAGGAUUAGAUACCCUGGUAGUCCCGGCCGUAAACGAUGGGCGCUAGGUGUGGGGGGACAUUCCCUCCGUGCCGCAGCCAACGCAUUAAGCGCCCCGCCUGGGGAGUACGGCGGCAACGCUAAAACUCAAAGGAAUUGACGGGGGCCCGCACAAGCAGCGGAGCAUGUGGCUUAAUUCGAAGCAACGCGAAGAACCUUACCAGGGCUUGACAUCCGGGUGAAGCGGCGGAGACGCCGUGGCCGAGAGGAGCCCGGACAGGUGGUGCAUGGCUGUCGUCAGCUCGUGCCGUGAGGUGUUGGGUUAAGUCCCGCAACGAGCGCAACCCCCGUCGCGUGUUGCCAGCAACUCGGUUGGGCACUCGCGCGAGACUGCCGGCGUCAAGCCGGAGGAAGGUGGGGACGACGUCAAGUCAUCAUGCCCCUUAUGCCCUGGGCUGCACACGUGCUACAAUGGCCGGCACAACGGGUUGCGACCCCGCGAGGGGGAGCGGAUCCCUCAAAGCCGGCCCCAGUUCGGACCGCAGGCUGCAACCCGCCUGCGCGAAGCCGGAGUUGCUAGUAAUCGCGGAUCAGCACGCCGCGGUG